GAUGAGGAACGCAGCGAAAUGCGAUACGUAAUGUGAAUUGCAGAAUUCAGUGAAUCAUCGAAUCUUUGAACGCAUAUUGCGCUCUCUGGUAUUCCGGAGAGCAUGCUUGUUUGAGUAUCAGUAAACACCUCAACUUCCAUAUCUUUUUUGAAAUGGGAGUUGGACUUGAGUGAUCCCAACGCUUUUCCUCACCGAAAAGUGGCGGGUUACUUGAAAUGCAGGUGCAGCUGGACUUUUCUCUGAGCUAUAAGCAUAUCUAUUUAGUCUGCCUAAAAAACAGAUUAUUACCUUUGCUGCAGCUAACAUAAAGGAGAUUAGUUCUUGUGCUGACUGAUGCAGGAUUCACAAAGACAGGCUUCGGCCGACUUUGUAAACUCGAUCUCAAAUCAAGUAAGACUACCCGCUGAACUUAAGCAUAUCAAUAAGCGGAGGA
rnacentral:misc_RNA from 1 species